CUGAUAACGAUAUCCUUCUUUCACGAGUAAUGUGACGAUUAUCAAUUCCAAACACAACACAUGGUGUAUAGCUGUGACAAUGUUGGGUCAUUUCGUCCUCAUUAUAUACGUGUUGUGCAUAAUGAUAAGCUGCAACAACAACACAGCAUAGAACUGGAAUACUCUGAAGCUGACAAGUGUUCCGUCAUUAUCAACAAACGGAGAUUGUUUCACCUUGAGCUGUACGAGCUCAAGAAGAAUUAGUAUAAUUUUCUGGUUUAAGGACGACAACAUAAUCUUCAAUACAACACGACACGUGGAUGCUGCUGACCUCCAAACCGUACCAGGAGUUGAUCACGUGAACUGUGAUGCCUCCCAACACAAUGUAACCAUCAACAUAACUACCACUCAGUACAAUGGAUCUGUAUGGAAGUGUUCAGAUGCUCGCGUAAUCAGCAACAAUCUUUCUAUCAAUGUUGUCACUCGCCCUGCGGUAAUUGUUUCACCAAAUGUCGUGACAUCUACAUCUUAUUCGACCACAACCAGAUAG